GACUUCCUGUUGCCUGCAAGAUGUACAACUCUCUGCUAUUCCUCCAGCACCAUGUCUGCCUACACACCACCAUGCUCUGCGCCAUGAUGGUAACAGACAAGCUCUGAAACUACUACUGACAUCCUACUCUGUGGAGCAAAGUCCAGACCCAACCAAGGACACAGCAUCAGCAUUAAUCUUCUUGAAGAUUAAAUAGACUGACCCACGCAUACCACUGGACACACAGUAAGAACAGAAUAAAUGUAAACUAUAAUUUAAAACA